rnacentral:rRNA from 1 species
UACGUAGGGGGCAAGCGUUGUCCGGAAUUAUUGGGCGUGAAGCGCGUGUAGGCGGCCAGAUAAGUCCGCUGUGAAAUCUCGAGGCUCAACUUCGAGCUGUCGGUGGAAACUGUCUGGCUAGAGUCCGGAAGAGGAGAAUGGAAUUCCUGGUGUAGCGGUGAAAUGCGCAGAUAUCAGGAGGAACACCAAUAGCGAAGGCAGCUCGCUGGGACGGUACUGACGCUAAGGCGCGAAAGCGUGGGGAGCGAACAGG